rnacentral:rRNA from 1 species
CUACGUGCCAGCAGCCGCGGUAAUACGGAAGGUCCAGGCGUUAUCCGGAUUUAUUGGGUUUAAAGGGAGCGUAGGCUGGAGAUUAAGUGUGUUGUGAAAUGUAGACGCUCAACGUCUGAAUUGCAGCGCAUACUGGUUUCCUUGAGUACGCACAACGUUGGCGGAAUUCGUCGUGUAGCGGUGAAAUGCUUAGAUAUGACGAAGAACUCCGAUUGCGAAGGCAGCUGACGGGAGCGCAACUGACGCUGAAGCUCGAAGGUGCGGGUAUCGAACAGGAUUAGAUACCCUGGUAGUCCGCACAGUAAACGAUGGAUGCCCGCUGUUGGUACUUGGUAUCAGCGGCUAAGCGAAAGCAUUAAGCAUCCCACCUGGGGAGUACGCCGGCAACGGUGAAACUCAAAGGAAUUGACGGGGGCCCGCACAAGCGGAGGAACAUGUGGUUUAAUUCGAUGAUACGCGAGGAACCUUACCCGGGCUUGAAUUGCAGAGGAAGGAUUUAGAGAUA